AAAGGGAGACCUAAUUCCAGUAGGAGACGAAAAAAAAGUAGUCCCUACCAAGAAUCAAUCCCAAAAGGUCGGAGCGAGGCAAAAUUGGCUUUCAAACUAGGUUCUGGGUUCACACAAGACCUGAAUCAGGAACAAGGGCUAUUAGCUCAGGUGGUUAGAGCGCACCCCUGAUAAGGGUGAGGUCCCUGGUUCGAGUCCAGGAUGGCCCACCUGCACAGGUGGAGGAAAGAAAAGAAGCUCCGAACCAGCACCUUAUCUUACUUAUAUAGUAAGAGAGAAUGCUGGCUCUGAGUACAGAGUCCAGAGGAACCUUGAAAACUGCAUAGAGCUAGGUGAAAAAGCCAAAAAAGAAGACCGCAAG
rnacentral:tRNA from 1 species